UGCCAGCAGCCGCGGUAAUACGGAGGGUGCAAGCGUUAUUCGGAAUUAUUGGGCGUAAAGAGCGCGUAGGCGGCUUUACAAGUCAGAUGUGAAAUCCCGGGGCUCAACCCCGGAAGUGCAUUUGAUACUGUAUGGCUUGAGUAUGGGAGAGGGAAGUGGAAUUCCUGGUGUAGCGGUGAAAUGCGUAGAUAUCAGGAGGAACACCGGUGGCGAAGGCGGCUUCCUGGACCAAUACUGACGCUGAGGCGCGAAGGCGUGGGGAGCAAACAGGAUUAGAUA
rnacentral:rRNA from 1 species